GAUGAACGCUGGCGGCGUGCCUAAUACAUGCAAGUCGAGCGAACAGAUAAGGAGCUUGCUCCUUUGACGUUAGCGGCGGACGGGUGAGUAACACGUGGGUAACCUACCUAUAAGACUGGAAUAACUCCGGGAAACCGGGGCUAAUGCCGGAUAACAUUUAGAACCGCAUGGUUCUAAAGUGAAAGAUGGUUUUGCUAUCACUUAUAGAUGGACCCGCGCCGUAUUAGCUAGUUGGUAAGGUAACGGCUUACCAAGGCAACGAUACGUAGCCGACCUGAGAGGGUGAUCGGCCACACUGGAACUGAGACACGGUCCAGACUCCUACGGGAGGCAGCAGUAGGGAAUCUUCCGCAAUUGGCGAAAGCCUGACGGAGCAACGCCGCGUGAGUGAUGAAGGUCUUCCGAUCGUAAAACUCUGUUAUUAGGGAAGAACAAAUGUGUAAGUAACUGUGCACGUCUUGACGGUACCUAAUCAGAAAGCCACGGCUAACUACGUG
rnacentral:rRNA from 1 species